rnacentral:lncRNA from 1 species
CCUCCCUCAGCGUCCGGAGUAGCUAGGACUACAGGCGCCCGCUACCACGCCCGGCUAAUUUUUUUGUAGUUUUAGUAGAGACGGGGUUUCACCGUGUUAGCCAGGAUGGUCUCCAUCUCCUGACCUCGUGAUCCGCCCGCCUCGGCCUCCCAAAGCGUUGGGAUUACAGGAGUGAGCCACCGCGCCCGGCCGGCUGGAGUGCAGUGGCAUGAUCUCGGCUCACUGCAACCUCCGCCUCCCGGGUUCAAGUGAUUCUCCUGCCUCAGCCUCCCAAAUAGCUGUGAUUACAGUUCAAAUGAGAUAAAGAUCCUCCUCUCCUCACAGUGAACAUGAGGUCACAGUGUCCAUGUAACUAACUCCUGGUUAAGAGGAUAUGGAUAGAAGGCACAUGUUCAACUUCUGGCUUCUGUCCUUGAAAAGUGUGAUGAUUCCAUCCUUUGCUGUCUUCCUUCCCGCUGACUGGAAUGUGGACUUGGUAGUGAGCUACCUUGGACUAUGUGGAUGAAGACAAAGAUAAAAGGAACCAAGGACUCUGAUGAUUCUGUAGAGAAGAGGAACCGUAGCUGCUCAAACGUUCAUGUGAAAGAAGAAUAAACUAUCAGAUUUAAGCCACUGCUAUUUUGGGUCUUUGUGAUAAACAGUGUUUACCAUAUCCUAAUUCACUAUUCCUUCCAUUUCUAGGUCAACCAUGUUGAAUUAAAUAUAGUGCUCUAACUUGCA